ACACGCACACCUUACCCCUAUGAGCACCUUCGAGAGACUAAGCCGACACAUCAUCUUGAGAUUGACGAAGUCGCCACUGACGCCUUCGUUGUCGACGGGAACGUCUCCUCCCACUGAAAGCACUUCGCCGGAAUACCUGAAAUAAAUCCAGGAAAAUGCAAGCACCAACGUCAAGUCUGGGACUUGAACUCUGAUGAGCAGGGGAUACCACAGUCCUCCUAACCAUCCAACCACGGGUUGGUUUGCUU
rnacentral:lncRNA from 1 species